UGGUUCCCUACCCUCCCACAGAGCCGUCU
rnacentral:piRNA from 1 species